CGGAAACAAUUUUUACUUUAGUGGCGGACGGGUGAGUAACGCGUGGGUAACCUGCCUUAUACAGGGGGAUAACACUUAGAAAUAGGUGCUAGACCGCAUAAGCGCCCAGGGCCGCAUGGCCCAGGGUGAAAAACUCCGGUGGUAUAAGAUGGGCCCGCGUCUGAUUAGCCAGUUGGCAGGGUAACGGCCUACCAAAGCGACGAUCAGUAGCCGGCCUGAGAGGGUGGACGGCCACAUUGGGACUGAGACACGGCCCAAACUCCUACGGGAGGCAGCAG
rnacentral:rRNA from 1 species